CGACAGGGCUCCAUUGUGCUCGCGAGCGAGGCAUGCCGGGAUAUGUAGUUUCCUCCCACUCAAUCUCACGGAUUGUCCUGUCUACUUUGCAGAAUUACUGGUUCUACCCGGGUGAAGCGGCGGCACUUAGGAUACAAUCCAGGAUUUUGCAUUGCAUGUACUUGUCCUGACUUCUUCCUCAGCUUUGUCAUGAAUGACCCUGGGAUUUUUUGAAGACUGCUGUGUGUUUCAGCUCCAAGGAGACUGCCAUGGCAGCGGGCUGAUUUGGUAUGGAGGCAACAGCUGGUUUCCUUGCACGUUACUAAGCUUUUAUUUCUGCUUUGUAGGAAGCUAACCUCAGGAUGGCCAGCUCAGCUCGGGAGCACCUGCUUUUUGUGCGGCGUCGAAAUCCCCAGAUGCGGUACACAUUGAGCCCAGAGAACCUUCAGAGCCUCGCCGCCCAGAGCUCCAUGCCAGAGAACAUGACCCUACAGAGGGCAAACAGCGACACAGACCUGGUGACCUCUGAGAGCCGCUCCAGCUUGACUGCCAGCAUGUACGAGUACACGCUGGGGCAAGCCCAAAACCUCAUUAUCUUCUGGGACAUUAAAGAGGAGGUGGACCCCAGUGAUUGGAUUGGACUUUAUCACAUAGAUGAGAAUUCUCCAGCCAACUUCUGGGAUUCUAAAAACAGGGGUGUGACUGGAACCCAAAAAGGGCAAAUCGUAUGGAGAAUUGAGCCUGGGCCCUAUUUCAUGGAACCUGAGAUAAAAAUCUGUUUCAAAUACUACCACGGCAUUAGCGGAGCCCUGCGAGCCACGACCCCCUGCAUCACCGUGAAGAAUCCUGCUGUGAUGAUGGGGGCAGAAGGCAUGGAAGGAGGUGCUUCCGGAAAUCAGCAUUCUCGGAAACUCGUCAGCUUCACGUUGUCAGAUCUUAGAGCAGUUGGGCUAAAGAAAGGGAUGUUCUUCAAUCCUGAUCCUUAUCUUAAGAUGUCCAUUCAGCCAGGGAAGAAGAGCAGUUUCCCCACCUGUGCCCACCAUGGGCAGGAGAGAAGGUCUACUAUCAUCAGUAACACCACUAAUCCAAUUUGGCACCGAGAGAAAUAUUCCUUUUUUGCGCUUCUUACUGAUGUCUUGGAAAUUGAAAUUAAAGACAAAUUUGCCAAGAGCCGUCCUAUCAUCAAGCGUUUUCUGGGGAAACUAACCAUUCCAGUCCAGAGGUUGCUGGAGCGGCAAGCCAUUGGGGAUCAGAUGCUCAGCUACAACCUUGGCCGAAGGCUUCCAGCUGACCACGUGAGUGGGUACCUCCAGUUUAAAGUGGAGGUUACAUCUUCUGUGCAUGAAGAUGCUUCUCCAGAAGCUGUUGGCACAAUACUUGGAGUCAAUACUGUGAAUGGAGACCUAGGAAGUCCUUCUGACGAGGAGGACAUGCCGGGGGGCCAUCAUGACAGCACGCUUUGCUCUAAUGGGCCAGUUUCUGAGGACAGUGCUGCUGAUGGGACCCCCAAGCAUUCUUUCAGGACUAGCUCUACUCUGGAAAUAGACUCAGAGGAAUUAACCUCUACUUCUUCAAGGACCUCACCUCCCCGAGGACGUCAGGAUUCGCUCAAUGAUUACUUAGAUGCUAUUGAACACAAUGGCCAUUCCAGGCCAGGCACGACUACCUGCUCGGAGAGGUCCAUGGGAGCCUCUCCAAAACUAAGGAGUAGUUUUCCCACCGACACGAGGCUCAACGCAAUGCUUCAUAUCGACUCAGAUGAAGAAGACCAUGAGUUCCAGCAAGACCUGGGAUAUCCGUCUUCCUUGGAGGAGGAAGGAGGGCUAAUAAUGUUCAGCAGAGCGUCAAGAGCUGAUGACGUGAGCCUGACAUCGCAGACCAAGCCAGAAGACAACCCAGUGGAGAUUGAGGAAGCCUCCACAAAUGAGGCUGCUUCCUUUGAGGAUAAGCCAGAACAUCUUCCCGAGCUUGCAGAGGGCUCCUUACCCUCGGGCCCAGUCCCAGAUGAGAGUGAAAGCGGCCCAGAGUCUCAACCAAGCGCUGAGCAGGGCAGCACCGAAUUGUGUGGCUCUCAAGAGGUGGAUCAGCCCACGAGCGGGGCAGACACGGGGACUUCUGACACAUCGGGAGGAAGCCGCAGGGCCAUCAGUGAGACCGAGUCCCUGGAUCAGGGGUCUGAGCCUUCCCAGGUAUCCUCUGAAACAGAGCCCAGUGACCCUGCCAGGACAGAGAGCGUGAGCGAGGCCAGCACCAGGCCGGAAGGCGAGAGCGACCUGGAGGGCGCCGACAGCUCCUGCAAUGAGAGCGUUACCACGCAGCUGUCCUCGGUGGACACGCGGUGCUCGUCUCUUGAGAGCGCACGGUUUCCCGAAACCCCAGCCUUUUCUUCUCAGGAGGAGGAAGAUGGAGCCUGUGCAGCAGAGCCCAGCAGCAGUGGCCUCGCUGAAGGCUCACAGGAUUCCAUACGUACUCCCAGUUCUUUACCUGUGGUGCAGGUGCCCGCUGGAGAGGAGGAAGGGGCAGGGGCAGACUCGGCCCCUUUACCUAACCAGGAGGAGGUCGGGGAGGUCUGGCAGCGGAGGGGGAGCUUGGAAGGAGCUGCUGCUGCUGAGAGCCAGCCCCAGGAAGAAGGGGAUGCCAGGGAUGCCCACGGGGCUUGUGAAGGGGCCACUGCCCAGGAGGAGGGCGCCACCGGAGGUUCUCAAGCCAAUGGCCACCAGCCAUUGAGAUCACUGCCUUCAGUACGCCAGGAUGUUAGCCGAUACCAGAGGGUGGACGAGGCUCUUCCCCCAAAUUGGGAAGCACGCAUUGACAGCCACGGCAGGAUCUUCUACGUGGAUCACGUAAACAGAACCACCACGUGGCAGCGACCAACAGCUCCUCCCGCCCCUCAGGUGCUGCAAAGAUCAAACUCCAUACAGCAAAUGGAGCAGCUGAACCGGCGAUACCAGAGUAUUCGCAGAACCAUGACUAACGAGAGGCCUGAGGAAAAUACCAAUGCUAUUGAUGGGGCAGGAGAAGAAGCUGACUUUCACCCAGCCAGUGCAGAUUUCCGACGAGAGAACGUCCUGCCCCACUCUACCUCCAGAUCCAGGCUCACGUUGCUGUUACAGUCCCCCCCUGUGAAGUUCCUCAUCAGCCCAGAGUUCUUCACCGUGCUGCAUUCUAACCCUAGUGCCUACCGCAUGUUUACAAACAAUACGUGUUUGAAGCACAUGAUCACCAAAGUCCGGCGGGACACCCACCACUUUGAACGCUACCAGCAUAACCGAGAUCUUGUGGGAUUCCUCAAUAUGUUCGCCAACAAACAGCUGGAGCUGCCAAGGGGCUGGGAAAUGAAACACGAUCAUCAGGGCAAGGCAUUUUUUGUCGACCACAACUCCCGCACCACCACUUUCAUCGACCCCCGGCUCCCGCUGCAGAGCAGUAGACCCACGAGCGCGCUGGUUCAUCGGCAGCACCUGACCAGGCAACGCAGCCACAGUGCAGGCGAGGUAGGAGAAGAUUCUCGACACACAGGACCACCAGUGCUUCCCAGGCCAUCGAGUACAUUCAACACAGUCAGUAGGCCACAGUACCAGGACAUGGUUCCAGUGGCUUACAAUGACAAGAUUGUUGCAUUUCUGCGCCAACCCAACAUCUUUGAAAUUCUACAGGAGCGCCAACCUGAUCUUACCAGGAAUCAUUCACUCAGGGAGAAGAUCCAAUUUAUCCGAACUGAAGGGACCCCAGGAUUGGUGCGUCUUUCAAGUGAUGCAGACCUUGUCAUGUUGCUGAGUUUAUUUGAAGAAGAGAUAAUGUCUUAUGUGCCUCCACAUGCCUUACUUCACCCCAGCUACUGUCAGUCCCCACGUGGCUCCCCCGUGUCCUCUCCCCAGAACUCGCCAGGUACUCAGCGUGCCAAUGCCCGGGCUCCUGCCCCUUACAAGCGAGACUUUGAAGCCAAACUAAGGAACUUUUACAGGAAGUUAGAGACUAAAGGAUAUGGACAAGGCCCAGGGAAAUUAAAGUUAAUUAUCAGAAGAGAUCACUUACUGGAAGAUGCUUUUAAUCAAAUUAUGGGCUACUCCAGAAAAGACUUACAGAGAAAUAAGCUGUACGUCACAUUUGUCGGGGAGGAAGGGCUGGAUUACAGUGGACCUUCCAGAGAGUUUUUCUUCCUCGUAUCCAGAGAACUCUUUAACCCAUAUUAUGGCUUAUUUGAAUAUUCAGCCAACGACACAUACACAGUACAAAUAAGUCCCAUGUCUGCUUUUGUAGACAAUCACCAUGAAUGGUUCCGAUUCAGUGGUAGGAUUCUUGGUCUUGCGCUAAUACACCAGUAUUUGUUGGAUGCUUUCUUCACACGGCCCUUUUAUAAAGCUCUUCUCAGAAUUCUGUGUGACCUGAGUGAUCUAGAAUACCUUGAUGAAGAAUUCCACCAGAGCCUGCAGUGGAUGAAAGACAAUGAUAUCCAUGACAUCCUGGACCUGACAUUCACUGUGAAUGAAGAAGUUUUUGGGCAGAUUACCGAACGAGAAUUAAAACCAGGGGGUGCCAAUAUCCCGGUCACAGAGAAGAACAAGAAGGAGUACAUCGAGAGGAUGGUGAAAUGGCGGAUUGAGAGGGGUGUUGUUCAGCAAACAGAGAGUUUAGUGCGUGGCUUCUAUGAGGUGGUGGAUGCCAGGCUGGUGUCUGUUUUUGAUGCAAGAGAACUGGAACUCGUCAUCGCGGGCACAGCUGAAAUCGACCUGAGUGACUGGAGAAACAACACAGAAUACAGAGGAGGAUAUCAUGACAAUCAUAUUGUAAUUCGGUGGUUCUGGGCUGCAGUGGAAAGAUUCAACAAUGAACAGCGACUCAGGUUGUUACAGUUUGUCACGGGCACAUCCAGCAUUCCCUAUGAAGGAUUUGCUUCUCUCCGAGGGAGUAAUGGCCCAAGAAGAUUCUGUGUGGAGAAAUGGGGGAAAAUCACUGCUCUUCCCAGGAAAGAAGAGAGAGUAAGCAUGUGACCUGGUUAACGUUUGAAGAAUACAGAAAGCACCAAGAGAUUAAGUCAUACCAGAUGUCUGGAGGGCUUUAAGUCUUCUUUAUAUUGAUGGCUGCACGAUUUCCCAAAGAUGGGUUCAGACCUGCCCUCCUUGAGUGGUUCUGGCUGCAUAGAUUAAAAUGAGAGCUCACACUUGUUUCAACCGUCUGGAUCUCCCCCCGUACCCAUCAUUCUCCAUGCUUUAUGAAAAACUCUUGACAGCAGUUGAAGAAACGAGUACCUUUGGACUUGAGUGACCUGGAAGAACGAUGCCAGGCUCUGUAUGGACAGGCAAUUUCAGAAGCUGCUGUCUAGAAGAAUGACUGAAUGUUGGAAGUUUCAAGAGUAUGCUUCCACUAGAGUCAAGCUGAGUGCUUUAUUUUCCAGGAACACAUGCUCUGUCACAAUGGGGUCCGGAUAGUGGUGAUGAGUCCUCUUGGAAGGAUUUGGGUGAGCUUGAUGCCCAGGGAACUACCCAACAGUCUUUCAAUCAACAGUUGUUGACUGCCAAACUUUUUUCCAUUUGUGUUAUGUUCCAAGACAAAGAUGAACCUGUACACGAUCAGCUCCAUGGUAACUUUCAGGGACUCGGGAGAAUCUUGAAACUUACCUUUGAACGCGGUUCAAGCCCAACUGGCAGCACUUGGCCCAAUCUCCAAAUUAGCUCAAGUUAAAUAAUAUAAUAAAAACAAAUAUAUUUCCUAAAAGUACAUUCAUUUAAGCCCUACGUUGUAGCAGAAUAUUCAUUUUCUUGCUAUGAGUGCCUGCAUGGUGUGCACCAUAGGUUUCAGCUUUCAUGGGACACAAGUGAAAAUGAAACCAAGUCAACAUGAGGUAACUUUAAAGAUUUGCAAUAAGGUGGUCUGUGACAAUGUAUAUGCAAAGUGGUAUGUGUGUAAUUAUGGCUGAAGACAAACUGUUCUACAAUGAAUAACUAAUGACAGAUUUUAUGCUUUAUAAUGCAUGAAAACAAUUUAAAAAUAACUAGCAAUUAAUCACAGCAUAUCAGGAAAAAAUACACAGUGAGUUCUGUUUACUUUUCAUAGGUUCAUUAUAUUUAUGUUCUUUAAGAUGUAUAUAAGAACCAACCUGUUCCGUAUGUAUCACCUGUUCCAUUUUCAUGUUCCAUGCUUACUCGGGCAUCAUGCUAGUACGUAUCCUUUUAAGCACUCUCAAGGGAACAAAAGGGCCUUUUAUUUUUAUAAAGGUACAAAAAAAAUUCCCCGAAAUAUUUUGCACUGAAUGUACCAAAGUUGAAGGGACAUUACAAUAUGACUAACAGCAACUCCAUCACUUGACAAGUAAAUAGAAAAUAGCUUCUAAAUCAAACUUCCUUCACAGUGCCAUGUCUACCACUACAAGGACUGUGCAUCUAAGUAAUAAUUUUUUAAGACUCACUAUAUGUGAUAGUAUGAUAUGCAUUUAUUUAAAAUGCAUUAGACUUCUUCCAUCCAUCAAAUACUUUACAGGAUGGCAUUUAAUACAGAUAUUUCGUAUUUCCCCCACUGCUUUUUAUUUGUACAGCAUCAUUAAACACUAAGAUCAUUUAGAGAGCCAUCAGCAACACCCAAGAGAUCAGCUCUCUUUAGUAAUAAGAAUUCCAUUUUCCCUCAUCAGUGAAGACAUCACAAAUUGAAACUCUCAGCACUAUAUUUCUAAGCCUGCAUUUUCACUGAUGCAUAAUUUUCUUAUCAAUAUUAAGAAACAAUUUUUCUAUGGUCUCUCAGAAACUGCAUGAUAUCACUAAUGUUAUUUCUGCUUAGUUUUAUCAGACGAUGUUCUUCAUUUUUAUUGCUUUUGGGGUUAUUUCACAUCACUGUUUAUUUCUUGACUUCUGGCCGUAACUAAUCAGAGUGAGUUCUUCAAUAGAGUGAAGUUAAAUCGUGGAUAAUAAAAGCAUUGGAUUCACAUUUGGUUUGCCAGCCUGUGGUUUUACAGGCACUGCCCAGACACCUCUUUGAGAAUUAUAAGUAGCCAUGGAAUUCCUAUUAUGGGAUGUUGGCAAUCUUGUAUUUUAUAGAGUCAGAUGCAUGGUUUUCACAGAUGGUUUUUAAGAACUAAUUGCUCUCCUGUUGGUUAAGCUAUGUUUACCAUUGAGACCCUCAAGAGGAAUACCACUCAUGCUGUGAUCCUGAACUAAAGACAGGUACUAUAGCAUGGGGAAAUGUUCCCCCAAAAGGUUACAGAAAUCUGGAGAUAAGAAAGGAAGAUUUAUCUGUGUACUAUAAUUAGACCAGGAAAAAAGGGAAGAGAAAAAAAUUUUAAUUGGAAAUGUUAGCUUGUGUUUACUGAUCAUGAAUAUAAGUAUAUAUUUAAUUUGCAAACUAUUUUUACUUGUUUGUAUUUUUUUCAUUAUAAGGAAAAAUAGUAUAACAUACUUUUUCAAAAAAAAAACAACCCACAUCUUUGACGGUAUAUAAGAUGGUUCAGAGCUGGCAUUCUCUAAGCAGCUGGUAUAAAAAGUUACAUUUCUUUCAAAAAUAGACCAUGUUAGCUUUCCUUUUGGUUUGUGACACUUUACUAUCAUGUUCCACAUUAUUAGGUAAAAGAAGUUUGAAAUCAAA